rnacentral:other from 16 species
AUGGGACGCUUCAAUACUGACAUGGUGUGAAGAGUUGACUGAGCUAGCUGGUAGUCCUCCGGCCCCUGAAUGCGGCUAAUCCUAACUGUGGAGCAAGUGCCCACAACCCAGUGGGUGGCUUGUCGUAAUGGGCAACUCUGCAGCGGAACCGACUACUUUGGGUGACCGUGUUUCUCUUUAUUCUUAUAUUGGCUGCUUAUGGUGACAAUCUCAGAGUUGUUACCAUAUAGCUAUUGGUUUGGCCAACCAGUG